GAUGAACGCUGGCGGCGUGCCUAAUACAUGCAAGUCGAGCGAACUGAUUAGAAGCUUGCUUCUAUGACGUUAGCGGCGGACGGGUGAGUAACACGUGGGCAACCUGCCUGUAAGACUGGGAUAACUUCGGGAAACCGAAGCUAAUACCGGAUAGAAUCUUCUCCUUCAUGGGAGAUGAUUGAAAGAUGGGUUCGGCUAUCACUUACAGAUGGGCCCGCGGUGCAUUAGCUAGUUGGUGAGGUAACGGCUCACCAAGGCAACGAUGCAUAGCCGACAUGGGAGGGUGGUCGGCCACACUGGGACUGAGACACGGCCCAGCCUCCUACGGGAGGCAGCAGUAGGGAAUCUUCCGCAAUGGACGAAAGUCUGACGGAGCAACGCCGCGUGAGUGAUGAAGGCUUUCGGGUCGUAAAACUCUGUUGUUAGGGAAGAACAAGUACGAGAGUAACUGCUCGUACCUUGACGGUACCUAACCAGAAAGCCACGGCUAACUACGUGCCAGCCGCCGCGGUAA
rnacentral:rRNA from 1 species